AUCGGAAUGGGUACAAUUUAAACCCUUUAACGAGGACCUAUGAGAGGGCAAGUCUGGUGCCAGCAGCCGCGGUAAUUCCAGCUCUCAAGGUGUAUAUCGCCAUUGCUGCGGUUAAAAAGCUCGUAGUUGGAUCUGCGCCUUCGGACUCGGUCCGCCCAACGGGUGUGAACUGAGAUCCAAGGCUUAUACUGCUGGUUUUCCCUUGAUGCUCUUCACUGGGUGUCUUGGGUGGCUAGCGAGUUUACUUUGAAAAAAUUAGAGUGCUUAACACAGGCUAUCGCCUGAAUACUUGUGCAUGGAAUAAUAGAAUAAGACCACGGCUCUAUUUUAUUGGUUUUCGGAACUGUGAUAAUGGUUAAGAGGGACAGACGGGGGCAUUCGUAUCGCUGCGUGAGAGGUGAAAUUCUUGGACCGCAGCGAGACGCCCUACUGCGAAAGCAUUUGCCAAGAAUGUCUUCGUUAAUCAAGAACGAAAGUCAGAGGUUCGAAGGCGAUCAGAUACCGCCCUAGUUCUGACCGUAAACGAUGCCAACUAGCGAUCCGCCGGUGGUAAUUACGCCCCGGCGGGGAGCUUCCCGGAAACGAAAGUCUUCCGGUUCCGGGGGAAGUAUGGUUGCAAAGCUGAAACUUAAAGGAAUUGACGGAAGGGCACCACCAGGAGUGGAGCCUGCGGCUUAAUUUGACUCAACACGGGAAAACUCACCCGGCCCGGACACCGUAAGGAUUGACAGAUUGAGAGCUCUUUCUUGAUUCGGUGGUUGGUGGUGCAUGGCCGUUCUUAGUUGGUGGAGCGA
rnacentral:rRNA from 1 species